rnacentral:lncRNA from 1 species
GGUUUUCGAUAAGCCUUGUUAAUUUCAAUCUAAGCUAGAUACAUGUGUGCUUUUGAGAUAAAUCUAAGUUUCACUUAACGUGAUUUUUACUUAAAAGAGGGACGAAAGAUACCAAAGGGACGGUCAAACUCAUAAAUCGAAAAUAAACUGACAACGCCAUGGCUAAAAAUGAAAAAAACAAACAGACAAACAAUAGUACACAUGACACAACAUAGAAAACUUAAGCGUCACUCAACAUUGCAAAAUAUUUGUUUACUAACACAAAGUUAGAAGUUACCAUUCGGGCA